rnacentral:rRNA from 1 species
AGAGUUUGAUUCUGGCUCAGAACGAACGCUGGCGGCGUGGAUAAGACAUGCAAGUCGAACGCGAUUUUUCCGGUUAGCAAUAACUGGAGAAAUUGAGUGGCGAAUGGGUGCGUAACACGUGGGAAUUUAUCCGGAAGUGGGGGAUAGCUUGCCGAAAGGCAAAUUAAUACCGCAUAUGCCCGUAAGGGCAAAGUGGGGGACCGCAAGGCCUCACGCUAUCGGAGGAGCCCGCGCCCUAUCAGCUAGUUGGUGAGGUAAUGGCUCACCAAGGCUUAGACGGGUAGCUGGUCUGAGAGGACGACCAGCCACACUGGAACUGAGACACGGUCCAGACACCUACGGGUGGCAGCAGUCGAGGAUUUUUCUCAAUGGGGGCAACCCUGAAGGAGCGACGCCGCGUGGAGGAUGAAGGGCUUCGGCUCGUAAACUCCUGUCACCGACGAACAAGGCAUCCGGAUUAAUAAAUCGGAUGCUUGAUGGUAGUCGGAGAGGAAGGGGCGGCUAACUCUGUGCCAGCAGCCGCGGUGAUACAGAGGCCCCAAGCGUUGUUCGGAUUUACUGGGCGUAAAGGGUGUGUAGGGGGUCGGGUAAGUUUGACGUGAAAUCCCGUUGCUCAACAACGGAACUGCGUCGAAUACUGCUCGGCUGGAGGUUCGGAGAUGAGGGCGGAAUUCUCGGUGUAGCGGUGAAAUGCGUAGAUAUCGAGAGGAACGCCGACGGCGAAAGCAGCCCUCAAGACGAAAUCUGACCCUGAAACACGAAGGCCAGGGGAGCAAACGGGAUUAGAUACCCCGGUAGUCCUGGCAGUAAACGGUGCUCAUUAGAUGUAGGCGGAUUCGACCCCGCCUGUGUCGAACCUAACGGAUUAAAUGAGCCGCCUGGGAAGUACGGUCG